UUUUCAGUUUUUGCAUUUAGUUUUCAUUAUAAGCCUUUUAUUAAUUUGUUUCUUUUAAAAUCUUAUUUUCAGGUACCAUUAAUCAUUCUUUUGGCGUGUGCACAAUUAGGAACAAGAGGUAAGUCUCUAAACGAGUUGUGUGUAUAAUAUUUCAAUAUGUUUCCUUUUGAGAACAACGUAUAUGGUUCACAAGACCGUACAUAUUAUAGUGAUCAAUUUAAUUCUCAUUCUUUUGACUUCCAACCAUACUUGGGAUAUAAUCAAAACCAAUCUUUUGCAUAUGAACAAUCACAAGGAUUGGAGGAUGGGUGUACUUUUAAUCAGUUUAAUUCUAGACAUGUGCAGAUGCUCGAUCAUAUUCUCUAUGAGUAAAGGCAGUGGAACAACUUAGUAGACAACCAACCGGACCUUGUUUCAAUGAGUCUUGCCCAACUCCUGAUCGUAUUUAUGAUCAUCCACCGAUUCAAAGGGAUGAGACUUGGGCUGGAAACUAUGAAAGUGGUGUGUGUCCAAGUUUGGCGGAGCAAUCUUCAAAUCAGAAAUUUGAUAGUUUUGUUGAAUCUGUUAUUCCCGUGAUGCAACAUAUGCUUCAAACAACAAAACAGUUUUGUAAAUUUUCAGUUGAGUUACAAUGAAUCACUCCAAGAAAAUCAGCGGAAUAUAGACAACAUCAGACAUGACAUGAAUCAAAUUCAAGAAGAGUGGAACAAGGAAGAGGUUCAAACUCAUUCUAUCAUUCCCAUGGAAGCCAAUAUAGAGUAUGAUAAAUCCGAAGAAGACGAAUUUUUUAAUGUUGAUAAUGAAGGUGUAACUAGCUCAACUCUUGAUCGUGAUAAUGAUCAUUCACCUAUUCAAAAGGAAGAAGUUGAGUCUAGAAACACUAAAGUUAUUAAUGGUAAGACUUAUGUUGUGUAUGAGAGUGAUGAUGAUUAUGACUUCUUUGUGAAUAACACCCCUAAUUCAGAGAUUGUGAAUACUUUGAAUAAGAAGUCAACUUGUGAUGACUUACUUGGAGCAGAUUUCGAUUUUGAUGAUGAAGAUUUGGAAGUUAUAGAAGAAACUGAUGAAGAAUGGCUCGUAAAGAGUUUGAAUGAGAAUUGCGAUACUUGUGAUGUAGGAGAAUCAAUGGAAUUUCUCAGAAAUACCGAGGAUCCCGUAAUGUGUGAGAUUAUGCAAGGUUUGUCUAACAAUUUACAUGAAUCUCUAUCUAAUGAUGAUCCUCCCAACUUGAAGUAGUUUCUCAAAGAGUUGCUAAUCCAUCUUUUAGGAAAAUACCAAACAAUUAUGUGCUUCAAAAGUUCUUUAUGAAUUUCUUGCUUCGAAGUAUCCACCAUAUGUGUUUGAGUCUAAUACCAUGCAGGUUUGCGAAGAAAAACCAAUAGAAGUGCCUUCCACUUAUGUUUUGUAUACACUUCCAAGUGUAGAAAAGACUAAGUGUGUGGGUAACUCUAGUGGGAUGAUAAUUUCACUUUUCCCACCAUUUGCUAACAUUCUUGUGAAGCUUUUGCUAUCAAUGCAGAUUGUUUUGUGGGUGGAUCCCCAAAUUUUCAGAUUGUUGAUAUAUGGGGAGUCUAUUUUGAAUGUUUCUCGUAUGCGUCAAUCAGGUGUUUUCGAGUCAUGCAACAUCAAAGGAGGCAAAAAAAAACUUAAUUCAUUGUUGUGCGCAUUAGGCACCGGUGGACUUGAAGUUAGCAGGAAAGCAAGGCUUUAAAGUGUCAAACAGAAGAAUCACUAGGUGCAGGAGUGACUUUCACCCCAGCUGAGGAAUGCUAGACACAGGGGCAUCCUUUCACAUUUACAGUACUCCAAAAACUAGAUUGAGUAAACACAAGUUCAGUUUUCUUUCCCUGAACCAAGUUCUCAAACGGCUGCAACAUAGAUUCAGCUGUGUACGAGUGUUUCGAAGGGUCAAGUUCAGGUUCAGUUCAGAAAGUACAAGACAUGCUCGAGUUUGUAUGGUGGGUUUGAGCAAGUUUUGGGCAGAAUAAACACCGGAAAGACAUGGAAGAUACAGUUCUGCCAUUGAUAAUCUUGAUGAAGGGUGAGAAGCCUAUCUGAAGCCGAGAAGAAGAAGGAAGAAUGGAGUAAGUUUACUGAUGUAUUGGACAGAGUUUCAAGCCGUUGUUCAAGCCAAGAAAUGCAGUGACAGAAGUUCAAUAUACUGUCAUUGAAAGUAUGGCUCAUUGGCCAUGAUUGAGAUGGAAUUUAGAGUAUUGAAUGAAUGGGUUUGUGUUGAAUGUGAUUGUUGCAGAGAAGGAGUUAUAUGGAAUGAUUUUAGGAUCAGCAGCAGGUUCAUAACUGUAACAGCAGCAAACUGCACACAAGAUGCUUAACGAAAAUUCUGAAUGACCAUUUCUUCACUUUAUGUAGUUCUGCUUCUACCAGUUUACUGCUCCAAGUAUGCCGUGGAGUGGUGAGUCUUUGCACAGGUUUAGGAGAGGAUUUAGAAGACAAUAGAGAGUAGGAGAACUGGCUCCAUUGUGAGAGUUGUUUUGGUUGUAUUUUUGGCCAGAAUAUUGGUGAAAGAAGGCGCUUGAGCUAACUAGUUCGCCAUGAGCUUAUGGACUGUGUACAAGGGCUUUUUAGCAGUGGUUUGGACUUGAUUUAGAAGGCAACGGCAAAAGAAUAUUUGGGUCCCAGUAUUGCUUCAGUUUUGGACUGAAUUUCUUGCCGAGAUAACAACCAACAGAUGCUGGCUUUGUGAUAGUUUAGAAGUGAUGAACGAUGACUGAUUGUUUAGUACUUUUGGAAGUUGCGAAGAAGUUGGGUUCAAUAUGAUUCGAAAUUACAGGGUUGAGAACUAUAAAAGAACCAAAACACCGCAGAAGAGCAUAAUCUCAUACCCCCUUACCACUGUCGUUCACAGCCAAAAGAGAUGAGCUUUUGCUCCUCUCCAAACCCUUCCAUCGCCACCUUCUCAUACCAUCAGCAUACCACCAUCUGCAUCCCCACUACCAUCUGCAUAACAUCCAUCUCAUAGCAUAUCCACCUGCAUCCACCAGCAUACACAAUUCCAUCUUCACCACCAUCCUUGCAUACCACCAGUUCCUAGUAUCACAUGCAUACAUCACCAACAACAGCUGGAGUUCAGUUCCAUCCUCCUUUCACAACAGAAACUUCCAUCACCAGCACUCCACCUGUUCGCAGAAACUUCAACUCGCACCAACAGCAAAACAGCAGACCACCUCCACAGUUGCAGUCAACAUCAUCAUUCCACAAUACCAUAUCAUCCAGUCCACAGUACCAUUCCACCGGUCCACCGGUUGCUGCCUUGGUUUGCUAGUUUGGUUUGCUGUUACAGUUUCAUAUUUUUGUUUCUUUAUCAUGAACUCCAGUAGCUAAUCAUCUUGAUUAGGGACACUUUUGACGUCCGAACAUGAACUCAAAUUAAGAUUUAAACUGCCUGUCUUCUUGCAAUCUAUUUCGUUAUUAUUCAUUCACUACGGUACCAAUGUUGUUUAUGAA